rnacentral:rRNA from 1 species
AUGCCGCCACUGUUCGCCGCAGCUCGUCAUGCCCGAUCGAAAGAGCCCAGCCGUGCAUCCGCCCAUGGCCGUCGUGGCCGGACCUCACCGUGGCCGCACUUGUGCUCCGGUGCGCCUCUGCUCCUGCUCAUGUCCAUCCCCGCGCCACCCCCUGGCCACACGCGCGCCUCCGCAGCCUUCCGCCUGCGCUCGGCCUUGCCGCCGCGUCCGCCUGCCGCUGACUCCGGCAACGCGGCCUGGGCCGCAAUCCGGCCGUGCGCGGCGUUGCCUGGCCACGUCCGCGCCAUGCCGCUGACUGCUGCUACUUUGCUGCUUGCCUGCUUCUAG